UACGUAGGGUGCGAGCGUUGUCCGGAAUUAUUGGGCGUAAAGAGCUCGUAGGCGGUGUGUCGCGUCGGCCGUGAAAACCUGGGGCUCAACUCUGGGCGUGCGGUCGAUACGGGCAUCACUUGAGUUCGGCAGGGGAGACUGGAAUUCCUGGUGUAGCGGUGAGAUGCGCAGAUAUCAGGAGGAACACCGGUGGCGAAGGCGGGUCUCUGGGCCGAUACUGACGCUGAGGAGCGAAAGCAUGGGUAGCGAACAG
rnacentral:rRNA from 1 species